GGGGUCUAAUACCGAAUAUUUACUUCUGGGUGCAUGCCUGGGAGUGGAAAGCUUCGGCGGUGCAGGAUGAGCCCGCGGCCUAUCAGCUUGUUGGUGGGGUGAUGGCCUACCAAGGCGACGACGGGUAGCCGGCCUGAGAGGGCGACCGGCCACACUGGGACUGAGACACGGCCCAGACUCCUACGGGAGGCAGCAGUGGGGAAUAUUGCACAAUGGGCGAAAGCCUGAUGCAGCGACGCCGCGUGAGGGAUGACGGCCUUCGGGUUGUAAACCUCUUUCAGCAGGGAAGAAGCGAGAGUGACGGUACCUGCAGAAGAAGCACCGGCUAACUACGUGCCAGCAGCCGCGGUAAUACGUAGGGUGCGAGCGUUGUCCGGAAUUAUUGGGCGUAAAGAGCUCGUAGGCGGCGUGUCACGUCGGAUGUGAAAGCCCGGGGCUUAACCCUGGGUCUGCAUUCGAUACGGGCAGGCUAGAGUUCGGUAGGGGAGAUCGGAAUUCCUGGUGUAGCGGUGAAAUGCGCACAUAUCAGGAGGAACACCCGGUGGCGAAGGCGGAUCUCUGGGCCGAUACUGACGCUGAGGAACGAAAGCGUGGGGAGCGAACAGAGUA
rnacentral:rRNA from 1 species